rnacentral:rRNA from 1 species
GAAGAACCUUACCAGGUCUUGACAUCCCGAUGCUAUUCUAGAGAUAGAAAGUUACUUCGGUACAUCGGUGACAGGUGGUGCAUGGUUGUCGUCAGCUCGUGUCGUGAGAUGUUGGGUUAAGUCCCGCAACGAGCGCAACCCCUAUUGUUAGUUGCCAUCAUUCAGUUGGGCACUCUAGCGAGACUGCCGGUAAUAAACCGGAGGAAGGUGGGGAUGACGUCAAAUCAUCAUGCCCCUUAUGACCUGGGCUACACACGUGCUACAAUGGUUGGUACAACGAGUUGCGAGUCGGUGACGGCGAGCUAAUCUCUUAAAGCCAAUCUCAGUUCGGAUUGUAGGCUGCAACUCGCCUACAUGAAGUCGGAAUCGCUAGUAAUCGCAGGUCAGCAUACUCGCGGUCGAAUACGUUCCGGGCCUU